UACGAAGGGGGCUAGCGUUGUUCGGAAUCACUGGGCGUAAAGAGCUCGUAGGCGGUUUGUCGCGUCGGCCGUGAAAUCUCCACGCUUAACGUGGAGCGUGCGGUCGAUACGGGCAGACUUGAGUUCGGUAGGGGAGACUGGAAUUCCUGGUGUAGCGGUGAAAUGCGCAGAUAUCAGGAGGAACACCGGUGGCGAAGGCGGGUCUCUGGGCCGAUACUGACGCUGAGGCGCGAAAGCGUGGGGAGCGAACAGG
rnacentral:rRNA from 1 species